GAUGAACGCUGGCGGCGUGCCUAAUACAUGCAAGUCGAGCGAACAGAUGAGGAGCUUGCUCCUCUGACGUUAGCGGCGGACGGGUGAGUAACACGUGGAUAACCUACCUAUAAGACUGGGAUAACUUCGGGAAACCGGAGCUAAUACCGGAUAAUAUAUUGAACCGCAUGGUUCAAUAGUGAAAGACGGUUUUGCUGUCACUUAUAGAUGGAUCCGCGCCGCAUUAGCUAGUUGGUAAGGUAACGGCUUACCAAGGCAACGAUGCGUAGCCGACCUGAGAGGGGGAUCGGCCACACUGGAGCUGAGACACGGUCCAGACUCCUACGGGAGGCAGCAGUAGGGAAUCGUCCGCAAUGGGCGAAAGCCUGACGGAGCAACGCCGCGUGAGUGAUGAAGGUCUUCGGAUCGUAAAACUCUGUUAUUAGGGAAGAACAAAUGUGUAAGUAACUAUGCACGUCUUGACGGUACCUAAUCAGAAAGCCACGGCUAACUACGUG
rnacentral:rRNA from 1 species